rnacentral:rRNA from 1 species
UACAGAGGGUGCAAGCGUUACUCGGAAUUACUGGGCGUAAAGCGUGCGUAGUCGGUUUUCUAAGUCCGGUGUGAAAUCCCCGGGCUCAACCUGGGAAUUGCAUUUGAUACUGGAUAGCUAGAGUUCGGCAGAGGGAAGUGGAAUUUCUGGUGUAGCGGUGAAAUGCGUAGAUAUCAGAAGGAACAUCAGUGGCGAAAGCGACUUCCUGGACCAGAACUGACGAUCAGGCACGAAAGCGUAGGGAGCAAACAGG